rnacentral:rRNA from 1 species
AGUAGCCGCGGUAAUUCCAGCUCCAAUAGCGUAUAUUAAAGUUGUUGCAGUUAAAAAGCUCGUAGUUGAAUUUCGGGAUCAAAUUGUCGGUCGUGCUUCGGUACGAACUGGUAUUAUUGGUUCCUACCUUCUGAAGAACCGCGAUGUCAUUAAUUUGGUGUCGUGGGGAAUCAGGACUGUUACUUUGAAAAAAUUAGAGUGUUUAAAGCAGGCUUACGCUUGAAUACAUUAGCAUGGAAUAAUGAAAUAGGACGUUUGAUUCUAUUUUGUUGGUUUCUAGGAUUGACGUAAUGAUUAAUAGGGAUAGUUGGGGGCAUUAGUAUUCAAUUGUCAGAGGUGAAAUUCUUGGAUUUAUUGAAGACUAACUACUGCGAAAGCAUUUGCCAAGGAUGUUUUCAUUAAUCAAGAACGAAAGUUAGGGGAUCGAAGACGAUCAGAUACCGUCGUAGUCUUAACCAUAAACUAUGCCGACUAGGGAUCGGAUGAUGUUAAUUUU